rnacentral:rRNA from 1 species
UACGGGGGGGGCAAGCGUUGUUCGGAAUUACUGGGCGUAAAGGGCUCGUAGGCGGCCAACUAAGUCAGACGUGAAAUCCCUAGGCUUAACCUGGGAACUGCGUCGGAUACUGGAUGGCUUGAGUUCGGGAGAGGGAUGCGGAAUUCCAGGUGUAGCGGUGAAAUGCGUAGAUAUCUGGAGGAACACCGGUGGCGAAGGCGGCAUCCUGGACCAACAUUGACGCUGAGGAGCGAAAGCCAGGGGAGCAAACGGG